rnacentral:rRNA from 1 species
UACGGAGGGUGCAAGCGUUAUCCGGAUUCACUGGGCUUAAAGGGUGCGUAGGUGGGCCGGUAAGUCAGUGGUGCAAUCUCCGGGCUUAACCCGGACACUGCCGUUGAUACUAUCUGUCUUGAAUAUCGUGGAGAUGAGCGGAAUAUGUCAUGUAGCGGUGAAAUGCUUAGAUAUGACAUAGAACACCGAUUGCGAAGGCAGCUCGUGGCACGGUUAUUGACGCUGAGGCGCGAAAGCGUGGGGAUCAAACAGG